rnacentral:tRNA from 1 species
UCCUGGUUAGCUCAGUUGGUAGAGCAGGUGACUGUUAAUCACUUGGUCGGCGGUUCGAGUCCGUCACCAGGAGCCA